rnacentral:lncRNA from 1 species
CCAGAUUAGAUCCUACGACAUUUCUUUGUUCCAUUCCCAUUCUCACUUCUAGACCACAUCACCUGGAAGGAGAUUAAACCCUGGAUCUGGAAGAAUUUGGGAUGCUGGGCAGUAUUUAACCCAAAUAGAGGGGCUAGCUGCCAGUCUGACUGUCUCGGCAGAGUAAUACUGCAGUAAUUAUGUGAUAGUCUUGUGUAUAUCAAAAGAAUAUUUGAUGUCCUGAGGGCAGUGGAGAGCAUGAGAAAGAAAAAUACGCUUGGAUGGAGACAGUUAAAAUACUAGCUAGGUGUUUAACAACUGCGUUGAAUUUAAUAUGUUUCAGUGGCAUGCCUGCUAGGACUCUUCUCCCUCCAACCAGACUCAAUUGUCUUUUAAGGCACUUGAGCUCUAGCAAGGAGAGAGGUUUGAACCUCUGGUAUGUAUAUUUAUAGACUGUUAGAGACAUGAGAGCAAUCACAAUAAUUCCUGGAGUGAAUUUCCUCCCCUCCUGUAACCUAAAUAAAUUUCACUCAGCAGUGUGGGUACUCUAAUCCCUUCCUCACCCUUGCCGUAUCUGACACCCUUUAUUGUUUCCCUAGCAACUGCACAGCAUGGGGAGGCUAUAAAAGGAGCAACAAUAAACAAAAUGAAUUACAACAAAGGUGACUAGCUGGCAGAAUUAGCACAGUGGAGGGUGGAGGGGUUUGAUCUCACAUAGACUUUUCUAGUAUUUCUCCUUUUCUCCUCUCCGAAGACCCUUGGCUCUGUUAUUUCUCAUAGCACUAUAGAGCUAGCAUUGAUAACUCCCAGCUUUUAGAAAGCUAGCUCAAAAAGAGAUCAGAGAGUUAAGAGUGACUUUUCCUAAGUCCAGGCGCGGUGGCUUAUGCCUGUAAACCCAGCACUUCUGGAGGCCGAGGCAGUGGCUCACUUGAGGUCAGAGACCAGCCUGGCCAACAUUAUUCCAGUGGUACCACCAACACCGGACAACACUCACAGAGAACUAUUGCAGGUCUGAUGAAGCAGAGAUGAGAUUCACAGAAGACAGCUGCUGCUUUGCCCUCUGACCGAGGUCCUCUGCAUUCAUUGCUGCUCUGCUUACAGAAUUAUUAUCAUGGUGAAAGGAAGGAGUGCUUUCCAAAGUGUGAAGAGAAAUCUGCAAGUCCUCACCAAGGAGCCUUGAAAAGGAGGUCACAGAAAUAUCUGGAGCAAAGGACUUCCUCUCACUUGUCUCACCUAAUAGCAAUCUUAGAAUAAAGGUUUCUCACUCCUAGGCCAAGAUCUGGGUUUUUGCAUUUUUGCACCAGAUUUUGUUCUGUGUUCUGCUUACUCUGCUCAAAUGCAUGUGCAAAUGAGGCAC